rnacentral:rRNA from 1 species
UACAGAGGUCCCGAGCGUUGUUCGGAUUCAUUGGGCGUAAAGGGUGCGUAGGUGGCGCUGUAAGUGGGGUGUGAAAUCCCGGGGCUUAACUCCGGAACUGCAUUCCAUACUGCGGUGCUUGAGGACUGGAGAGGAGACUGGAAUUUACGGUGUAGCAGUGAAAUGCGUAGAGAUCGUAAGGAAGACCAGUGGCGAAGGCGGGUCUCUGGACAGUUCCUGACACUGAGGCACGAAGGCCAGGGGAGCAAACGAG